AUGGAGAUAAGAACCGAGCUCAUGCCACCAUUGGCGAGCACUGACAACCCUGGGAGGGGAACCCUAUCCCCUGCCCGAAUGGCCGAAGACAACACCGGUAACCAUGGGCAUCCACAAAAGAUGAGAACUUGUGCGGCCUCGCCGCCAGCACCAGCACGAAGUUGCCGACCUCACCGCCAACAACCCCCGUCCAGCACAAGCGCGCUCCCCCCAAAGCUCACCAAAGACGACACCUCCUUGAAGGUGACGACGCCCACAGCGUCGCUGCCGCCCAACCCAGAGAGAUUUGGGUUUUCACCCGGUACAUGA
rnacentral:rRNA from 1 species